GCCGCAGAGAGAGGAAGCUGCCUAAGAAUGUGAGGAAUAAAUAUAUCACACCAUCUCUCUGUCCACUGCCUUCCUCUGGGCAUCUAAAAAGGCAGGCAGGCUCCGCUGCGCCACAGGAGUUGGCGAGAGAGAGAGGGAAGCAAGGGCUUGGAGUGUACAAGGCAUCCGCCUGGACUUCAACUUGCAUCUCUUUUACUCUACACUGAUGGAUGGAUAGAUGAGGGGAAGCUGACUGGGAAGAGGGAGGAGAGGAGGAUGGCUGGCAGUGCUCUGGCUCAGAUGGCGCUGGUCGUGGAGAUUUUCUGCCAGGAAGUGAUGAAAAGGAGAAGGUUGAACAAUCCCCUUGCUCUGGCUACCUCGAGGAUUCAGAAGCCCCAGGAAAAAGUGGAAGCCGGAGCAGUCUCUGGAGUGGAUUAGGCAAGCAGGUGCAGAUCUGGGCUGGCGACCGAAGACUAACGUUCAGCGAGAAGACCGAGCGGCGCACGCUGGUAUCGGAGCUAUGUUGCCCGGGAAGCCUGCGAGCCAGGCAGGCAUGAGAACUGACUAUCCUGGGGAAGUACAGUAGUUUCAGCUCGCUAGAAACCCGUCAGCGGGUCUUGACGGCACACUUGGAGGGAUACAUCGUUCUGCCAAUCAACCCACGAAUCAACACCCAAACUGAAGCUGAAAACACUCCUUUGGAUUUCGAGGAAGCCACCAUGCAAAAGGUUGUUCCCUGUAAUCCUAGUCUGAGAGGGGGAGAUUAAACGCCCAUAAUGUUGAAGAUUCACGUCAAGGUAUGCCAACAUCUGCAGCAUCUCAGCAGAGAAAGGUGCCAUGAAUAGUGAAGCCAGUGAAGCCCUCUUAAGAUUUGCUUGGCAGUCCAAAGAUACAGAUGGGAACUGAAGUUUCUCCCCAGCACAACUGUGAUAAUUGGAUUUUGCGGACACCUGUAUGAGUGCAGUAUAUCCAGGGGAUUAUAAGCAGGGAUGGGGGGAGCGUGGCUGUUUGCUGUCCUCGGUGUCACUUCCUUCAAGCAUACAGAUAACUGGCCUGGCCUGCAGAGAUAGCAGCCCUCUAUCACAUCAAGAGCUGCUCAAAUCCCCAGACAGAGUGUUUGUCUUAGGGGACGGGGUCACACACACACACACACCUGUGACUGGGACAUGGAAGCCUCCCUCUGCUCAAGGUGUCUGAAUGAGGGCUUGUGUGUGUCAGAGAAAUGGGGAACCAGUGAGUGUGCUUACAUGUGUAUGAGUGCAUGAAUGUGUGUGUGUGUGUGUGUGUGCGCCUGGACCCAUGUAAUAUGUGUGUCUCUUGGCCCGCAGUCAUGGUAGGCAGUGUGGUGAAUCAAGGUGUCAUCUUCUAGUGGUCAGGAAAGCCAGCUGUGUGUGUGCGUGCACGCGCAUCCCUUUUGUGUUGGCACAUGUGUUCCAUGCUGUUGUCCGUGUGUGAACCAUUCUCUGCUGGCAGAGGAAGACAGCUGUGUGUGUCCAUAUAUAAUGUACAUGUGUGUGUGUGUGUGUGUGAGAGAGAGAG